rnacentral:tRNA from 1 species
GAAGGUAUAGCUCAAGAGUGCAUGCCUAGCAUGCCUGAGGCCCUGGAUUCAAUCCCCAGUACCUCUA